rnacentral:rRNA from 1 species
GCCGCGGUAAUACGUAGGGUACGAGCGUUGUCCGGAAUUAUUGGGCGUAAAGAGCUCGUAGGUGGUUGGUCACGUCUGCUGUGGAAACGCAACGCUUAACGUUGCGCGUGCAGUGGGUACGGGCUGACUAGAGUGCAGUAGGGGAGUCUGGAAUUCCUGGUGUAGCGGUGAAAUGCGCAGAUAUCAGGAGGAACACCGGUGGCGAAGGCGGGACUCUGGGCUGUAACUGACACUGAGGAGCGAAAGCAUGGGGAGCGAACAGGAUUAGAUACCCUGGUAGUCCAUGCCGUAAACGUUGGGCACUAGGUGUGGGGGGCAUUCCACGUUCUCCGCGCCGUAGCUAACGCAUUAAGUGCCCCGCCUGGGGAGUACGGUCGCAAGGCUAAAACUCAAAGGAAUUGACGGGGGCCCGCACAAGCGGCGGAGCAUGCGGAUUAAUUCGAUGCAACGCGAAGAACCUUACCAAGGCUUGACAUACACCGGACCGUCCUGGAAACAGGUCCUCUUCUUUGAAGCUGGUGUACAGGUGGUGCANNNNNNNNNNNNAACGAGCGCAACCCUCGUUCUAUGUUGCCAGCACGUGAUGGUGGGAACUCAUAGGAGACUGCCGGGGUCAACUCGGAGGAAGGUGGGGAUGACGUCAAAUCAUCAUGCCCUUUAUGUCUUGGGCUUCACGCAUGCUACAAUGGCUGGUACAGAGAGAGGCGAACCCGUGAGGGCAAGCGAAUCCCUUAAAGCCAGUCUCAGUUCGGAUCGUAGUCUGCAAUUCGACUACGUGAAGUCGGAGUCGCUAGUAAUCGCAGAUCAGCAACGCUGCGGUGAAUACGUUCCCGGGCCUUGUACACACCGCCCGUCAAGUCACGAAAGUCGGUAACACCCGAAGCCGGUGGCCUAACCGUAAGGAGGGGGC